rnacentral:rRNA from 1 species
AGUGAACGCUGGCGGCGUGCCUAAUACAUGCAAGUCGAACGGAGUGGCGCACGGGUGUGUAAUGUAUAGCUAAUCUGCCCUACACUAGAGGACAACAGUUGGAAACGGCUGCUAAUACUCUCUAGUUUAGGAUGAGGCUAUAUUGUAUCAGCUAGUUGGUGAGGUAAUGGCUCACCAAUGCUAUGACGCAUAACUGGUCUGAGAGGAUGAGCAGUCAAACUGGAACGGAGACACGGGCCAGAAUGCUACGGGAGGCAGAAGUAGGGAAUAUUGCUCAAUGGGGGAAACCCUGAAGCAGCAACGCAGCGUGGAGGAUGACACUUUUCGGAGCGUAAAAUCCUUUUGUUAGGGAAGCGGUACCUAACGAAUAAGCACCGGCUAACUCCGUGCCAACAGCCGCGGUAAUUC